rnacentral:rRNA from 1 species
UACGGGGGGAGCAAGCGUUGUUCGGAUUUACUGGGCGUAAAGGGCUCGUAGGUGGCCAACUAAGUCAGACGUGAAAUCCCUCGGCUUAACCGGGGAACUGCGUCUGAUACUGGAUGGCUUGAGUUUGGGAGAGGGACGCGGAAUUCCUGGUGUAGCGGUGAAAUGCGCAGAUAUCAGGAGGAACACCGGUGGCGAAGGCGGGUCUCUGGGCCGAUACUGACGCUGAGGAGCGAAAGCGUGGGGAGCGAACAGG